UACGAAGGGGGCUAGCGUUGUUCGGAAUCACUGGGCGUAAAGGGCGCGUAGGCGGCUUUGUAAGUCGGGGGUGAAAGCCUGUGGCUCAACCACAGAAUUGCCUUCGAUACUGCGAGGCUUGAGACCGGAAGAGGUUAGUGGAACUGCGAGUGUAGAGGUGAAAUUCGUAGAUAUUCGCAAGAACACCAGUGGCGAAGGCGGCUGACUGGUCCGGAUCUGACGCUGAGGCGCGAAAGCGUGGGGAGCAAACAGG
rnacentral:rRNA from 1 species